ensembl:lncRNA
CAUUCCUCGAACUGUCGAGCAAACGAAAGGAGUGUUAUUUAAAAAAAAAAAAAAAAAAAAAAAGUAAUGUUAUUGCUAGACUCGUAAAGGCUGGGAGGCUGAACCGUCUCUUCUCUUUCCGGCGCGUUUACGAUUCAUUCAGUCUGCUCUUGCUAGGCAAUAAUUUGUAACGUUUGGAAAAAGCCACCCGAGAUAUUUCACCAUACGCAACAUGUCGGGAAAUUCAGUUGUAAGACCAUUAUUAAGGUAAGACCUUUGUAAGACCAUUAUUGUAUUAUUAUUUGUAAAUAAUUCUGUCAGUGAAAAUUCCUUCUAAUUCGAUCUUUGACUCAAUACGCCAUAAUUAGUCAUUUUCACAAAUAAAUCGUCCUCGGUAACAUACCGUGUGAUUAUGUGUAAUAGUAUUUCGAGAGGAAAGUUGUGUUUAAAAAAUUGUAUAUUAUAUUUGCUGAUCAUUUUUAUAGAAAAUUAUACCGAUGAAUUUGACUAACGGAAAAAGAGAAAAUAGGACCGAAGGCGCAAUGAAAGAUUGAAAGAUGAAGAUCAAAGAUGCCUUUCUUAUAGGCCUGUGGCCCUCUUAUUUCUUUAGGUUACUUUUGUUUUCAAAACACAUCGAAUAGGCUAAUAAAAAAACACUCGUCGCAUAAGUAUGUGGAUACAUACAUAAACAUAAAUAUGCUAAAAUGCCUGUAGACACAAGACUCUGCAAAAAUUGCAUGAUAAAACUAUAGGAAAAGCUGCUUAAGAUAAAGGUCUUAAGCAUCGUUUAAGGGCAUUCUAGGUUAGUAAAUAAUAAUAGUACAGGAAACGCAAUGUUUAAAUGAAUUGAAAAUAAAUAAAUUAAUUAAUAAAUUAAUAGGUAAAUAAAUAAAUAAAUAAAUUAAUUAAUUAAUAAUAAUGAUAAUAAUAAUGAUAAUAAUAAUAGCGAGAAGAAGAAUAAAAAGUAGAAUGAGAAGAGGUUAUAGAAAUACGUCGUUUCUUAAAAUUUGUUUAUUGUUAUUUUAUUACAUGCAAUAACAUGUUACAAAAUCAUACAGAAUACGUAUGUACUAAGAUAAUUGUAACAUUCUCAUUCUUAUUGCAAUUUUUGUUUAUUAAAAUAAAUCAGGACUUGUUUUAAAGUG